rnacentral:tRNA from 1 species
GCGCGUGUAGCUCAGCGGUAGAGCGAUUGUCUUAUACACAAUUGGCCCCAGGUUCGAAUCCUGGCACGCGCA